UUAAUACCACACCCCUCUCAUAACAACAACAAAAACAAAAGUAAACGCACAUUCCUCAUCAUCACUUCUUGUAUUCUAGUACAAUACAUCAAUAUCUUUGUUCCAUCCUUUAUUUUAGAUCGUGUGGUGAAUUUUAUUUCCCUUUUCUUAAAUUCCCAGAAAAGUUUGUUCUGUCUCAACCGUGUCAAACUCUACGUGAAUCAAUUUAGAUUCUGUUUUUUGAUUGUUUCCAACCAUACAAAUUUUCCUCAUUCUUUCUCUCACUCUCUCUUUUGGAUUGGGUUAAAUCUUCCUGUUCUGUUUCCCCUGUUUUUUUCUCUGUGUUGA